rnacentral:lncRNA from 1 species
UUUCUUCACUUUCUCUUCUUCUUCUCCACUUUCUUCUUCUUCUUUUCCUCCCUUUUCUUGUCUUCUUCUUCUCCUCUUUUGUCUUCUAGUGAGAGAGAGGGAGAGAAGAGAGUGUGAGAGGGUGAGAAUGAGAGAAAUGUCUCAUUUGUUCCCUUACUAUACUCUAUGGGUUGCAAAAUUGCAGCUAAACCCCUCAACUUUCACUCUUUCACACAGCCUGGACUGGGCUGUUCGCGCAGGCGGGGACCGGUCUCUCCUUCAGGGACCGGUUCCCGAAGGCUCUCCCCGCGCAGCCAGAGCUGCUGCGCGCAGGGCAACCGGUCUCUCUUUGGGGGACCGGUCUCUCGGGGACCGGUCUCUCAAGCAGGGACCGGUUCCCGAGAGCUAAUUUCUCAGGACUUAGCCAAUUUUUCGGCUGUCUCAUUUCAUACGCGUUCAGGGACCG